rnacentral:rRNA from 1 species
GCGUUGUUCGGAAUUACUGGGCGUAAAGCGCGUGUAGGCGGUUGUUCAAGUCAGGGGUGAAAGCCUUGAGCUCAACUCAAGAAAUGCACUUGAUACUGGAUGACUAGAGGACCGGAGAGGAUAGUGGAAUUCCCAGUGUAGUGGUGAAAUGCGUAGAUAUCUGGAGGAACACCGGUGGCGAAGGCGGCGUCCUGGACCAACACUGACACUGAGGAGCGAAAGCCAGGGGAGCAAACGGG